rnacentral:rRNA from 1 species
ACGCACGCUGGCGGCGUGCUUAACACAUGCACGUCGCACGGAAAGGCCCUGCUUUUGUGGGGUGCUCGAGUGGCGAACGGGUGAGUAACACGUGAGUAACCUGCCCUUGACUUUGGGAUAACUUCAGGAAACUGGGGCUAAUACCGGAUAGGAGCUCCUGCUGCAUGGUGGGGGUUGGAAAGUUUCGGCGGUUGGGGAUGGACUCGCGGCUUAUCAGCUUGUUGGUGGGGUAGUGGCUUACCAAGGCUUUGACGGGUAGCCGGCCUGAGAGGGUGACCGGCCACAUUGGGACUGAGAUACGGCCCAGACUCCUACGGGAGGCAGCAGUGGGGAAUAUUGCACAAUGGGCGGAAGCCUGAUGCAGCAACGCCGCGUGCGGGAUGACGGCCUUCGGGUUGUAAACCGCUUUCGCCUGUGACGAAGCGUGAGUGACGGUAAUGGGUAAAGAAGCACCGGCUAACUACGUG